rnacentral:rRNA from 1 species
GACGAACGCUGGCGGCGUGCUUAACACAUGCAAGUCGAACGGAAAGGCCCUGCUUUUGUGGGGUGCUCGAGUGGCGAACGGGUGAGUAACACGUGAGUAACCUGCCCUUGACUUUGGGAUAACUUCAGGAAACUGGGGCUAAUACCGGAUAGGAGCUCCUGCUGCAUGGUGGGGGUUGGAAAGUUUCGGCGGUUGGGGAUGGACUCGCGGCUUAUCAGCUUGUUGGUGGGGUAGUGGCUUACCAAGGCUUUGACGGGUAGCCGGCCUGAGAGGGUGACCGGCCACAUUGGGACUGAGAUACGGCCCAGACUCCUACGGGAGGCAGCAGUGGGGAAUAUUGCAAAUGGGCGGAAGCCUGAUGCAGCAACGCCGCGUGCGGGAUGACGGCCUUCGGGUUGUAAACCGCUUUCGCCUGUGACGAAGCGUGAGUGACGGUAAUGGGUAAAGAAGCACCGGCUAACUACGUG